rnacentral:rRNA from 1 species
UACGAGGGGGCAAGCGUUGUUCGGAAUUAUUGGGCGUAAAGAGCUCGUAGGCGGUUCAGUAAGUCAGGUGUGAAAUCUUUGGGCUUAACCCAAAGCGUGCACUUGAUACUGCUGUGACUUGAGUUCGGUAGGGGAGACUGGAAUUCCUGGUGUAGCGGUGAAAUGCGCAGAUAUCAGGAGGAACACCGGUGGCGAAGGCGGGUCUCUGGGCCGAUACUGACGCUGAGGAGCGAAAGCGUGGGGAGCGAACAGG